CACUGGCAAGGACAACCAGCAGUGACGGACGUCCAACAGCACCUCCGACCAGCAGCAACAGCGAGCAGCAGCAGCGAGAGCUGGAGACGCCCAGGACCAGAAGCAGCGACCACCAGCAGCUCCAACCAGUGAAAAAAUAGCAGCAGCUGCGCGGAGACAGCGAGGUCCGGCAAUGCAGCGAGUCCGGCGAGCCUUCUCUCUUCUCUGCUCGAUUCUUUCGGUAAAGUUCUGAGGUUUGUAGUUUUGUUGAAGACGGAUCUUAACCGAUCCGUCCAGGUACGCUCUUUUAUUUGAUUAUCACUUUUAAAACAAAUUUUGGUUAGUUUGAUUAUUAAAUUUUCAUUCGUAUACUUGCUUUAUGUAAAUGAAAAUCAUUUGGACUAGUUAUUGUUUGUGAUGUCGAGCAUGCAUUCUUUGUGAUGAUCUGAUUCCUUAAAUGUGUAUUGUUCUAGCCAUGUUAAAGUAUUAUUCAAGUUGUUAGAAUGCCAAUAUUUCUCUUCGUUAUCUGCUACUUUGUAGACACUAAUAUGUCCUUGAUUUCAUCUCAUCAUUCUUACCAAUUUUCUGAUUAUGGUAAAUUAUUACCUGUGAGAAUAUUGCUUUGGGAAAAUCAUAUUCUAUUUUAAAUAAUUAUAUCUGUUUGCUUGAAUAUAUCAAUUUACUAUCUAAAAUCAUUAUCUUUACCUGUUUUACAUUUCUGACUAUGGUUGAUUGAUUUUCUUUACCUUAAUUAAAUAAGACUGAUUUUAUGUGAUUAUAUUUGAUAAUGUUUGAUUGAUAUGAUUCUCUUAAUAAGGAAAUAAUUUCUCCAUAAUUGCUCUUAAUUGAUUCUUUUCCUUUGAAAUGAUGCCCUCUCCUCUACUAUAAAACAAGACCUCUGUUUUAUUCCUUAAGGACGCUUUGAACAGACCCAUUCAAAACCCACUCACACUCACAUCCGGGUACAUCGACUUUUACUCUAAAAAAUACUAAGAAUACAUUCUACUCUUUAACUAAAAAAAAAAGGAAUUAAGUUUUCCGGUUAAAACUAAAUUCUUUUAAUCUAUAUUUGUUGUAUUCGUGUCGAUUAUUGGACUAAGUGUCAGUCUUCAUUGCUGUUAUAAUUUUCUGCUUUAACUGGUUAGUUGUUCUUCCAUUAGUUUAAUUUCAUCUUGCAUUAUUAUUUUGAAUAUUGUUGUGGAUAAAAGGAAGCACCCGACUUAGUUUUUCGUUCUUCCCUCUCUCUAUGUGUGAUAAUAUGCCUAUAGUUAUUCUUUAUUGGAUUUCUUAUAUGUCUUGCUUAUAUAUAUGAAAGUAAUUUGUUGUUAUGAAUAUUUGAUGUUGCGAUUAUUUUUUUCAUUAUAUCUAUGUGUUCCAUUAUCCUUCUACCAGGUUUCGAAAACUUGAAGUUCAAGUUGAAGAGUCGCUAGA
rnacentral:lncRNA from 1 species